CCCGGGCCGCGGCGGAGGCGGGCGAUCCGAAAGAGGCUGGUGCUGGCUGCAUGGGGAGGCGGCGGCAGCGGGUGGACCCCGCGGCUGGGGCCCGGGCCGGGGCCCUGCCUGAGGCCAUCGCCGCGUUGAGUCGGUCGCUGCCCUCGGGACCCAGCCCCGAGAUCUUCCGCCGCGCCAAGUUCGACCGUCCGGAGGCGGUGACGCUCUCGCGGAGGGCAGGCGGGCCGGGUGGGGUCCCGGGCCCUCGCAGGGAGUUGGGCCGGCUCCGCUGACCGCCCGCUUUUUAUUUUCCGCAGACCUCCGCGCUCUGGCAGCUCCUCUUCCGUGUGCUCUCGCCACUCCCUGCGGGCAACGCCUUGGCAUCGCUCGCCCUGGGGCUACCCGAGGCUGGCACUGGCACAACUACCUGAGGAUGGCUCGCAGGGCAGUCGGGAGCUGCUGCUGGCUCUGUCCUGGCUCUUGGCCCGAGGACCUGUGCCCGAGCAGAUGCUGGCCCAGGCCCGAGUGCCUCUGGGUGACGAGAUGACUGUGUGCCAGUGUGAGGCCCUGGCCAGCCCUGGCCCACCUGCACCCCACAUGGAAGCAGAAGGUCCUGUGGAUGUCCGCCACGUGCAGUGGCUGAUGGGAAAGCUGCGGUUCCGGUGGCGCCAGCUGGUGUCCAGUCAGCAGGAGCAGUGCGCCCUCCUGAGCAAGAUCCACCUGUACACACGCGGCUGCCACAGCGACCAGAGCCUUAGCCAUCUGUCUGUCACUGAAGCAGAGAUGCUCAGGGACCCAGAGGGAGGCCAGCAGCUGCUGCGGACUCUGGAGCGUGAGAACCAGCGCCUGGAGGCUGUCCUGGCGUGGCGG
rnacentral:sRNA from 1 species